rnacentral:other from 2 species
AAUACCCUGCUGUGUUCGUGAUGCGGCCUUAGAAGUUUUGUACCAACACCUUAAAAAAGGGCCUGAUCUCGUGUGAGGUGAGGUGGUAGACUUCGGUCAAGACUGAUCCCGCAGGAAGGGCCACCCUGUGUCUCACAGGUUCAAAACCUUUCCGCACACGGCAUGGCGGGGAGGUU